GACGAACGCUGGCGGCGUGCUUAAUACAUGCAAGUCGAACGGACCGAUUCCGGUAGUUUACUAUUGGGAAGGGUAAGGGGCGGAUGGGUGGGUAACGCUUGGCCAAUCUGCCCCUAAUACGGGGGGAAAACAGGGAAAGUUAUCCUAAAACCGCUUACUUUUAAUGAGCCGCAGGGUGGAGAAAGGAAAGGGAAGGCUUAGGGAGGGGCCCGCGUCCCAUUGGCUAGUGGGUGAGGUAACGCCCCACCAAGGCAACGAUGGGUAGCCGGGCUGGGAGGGUGGGCGGCCACACUGGGACUGAGACACGGCCCAGACUCCUACGGGGAGCAGCAGUAGGGAAUUUUCGGCAAUGGGCGAAAGCCUGACCGAGCAACGCCGCGUGAGGGACGAAGGUCUUCGGAUCGUAAACCUUUGUCAUCGAGGACGAUAAUGACGGUACUCGAGGAGGAAGCCCCGGCUAACUACGUG
rnacentral:rRNA from 1 species